GACAGAGGAUGCAAGCGUUAUCCGGAAUGAUUGGGCGUAAAGCGUCUGUAGGUGGCUUUUUAAGUCCGCCGUCAAAUCCCAGGGCUCAACCCUGGACAGGCGGUGGAAACUACCAAGCUGGAGUACGGUAGGGGCAGAGGGAAUUUCCGGUGGAGCGGUGAAAUGCGUAGAUAUCAGGAGGAACACCGGUGGUGUAGACGGCUUUCUGGACCGUAACUGACGCUGGAGAACACGGAAAGCCGUGGGGUA
rnacentral:rRNA from 1 species